rnacentral:rRNA from 1 species
CAAGUCGAACGGACCCUUCGGGGUUAGUGGCAGACGGGUGAGUAACACGUGGGAACGUGCCUUUUGGUUCGGAACAACUCAGGGAAACUUGAGCUAAUACCGGAUGUGCCCUUCGGGGGAAAGAUUUAUCGCCAUUAGAGCGGCCCGCGUCUGAUUAGCUAGUUGGUGAGGUAAAGGCUCACCAAGGCUUCGAUCAGUAGCUGGUCUGAGAGGAUGAUCAGCCACACUGGGACUGAGACACGGCCCAGACUCCUACGGGAGGCAGCAGUGGGGAAUCUUGCGCAAUGGGCGAAAGCCUGACGCAGCCAUGCCGCGUGAAUGAUGAAGGUCUUAGGAUUGUAAAAUUCUUUCACCGGGGAAGAUAAUGACGGUACCCGGAGAAGAAGCCCCGGCUAACUUCGUGCCAGCAGCCGCGGUAAUACGAAGGGGGCUAGCGUUGCUCGGAAUUACUGGGCGUAAAGGGCGCGUAGGCGGACAGUUAAGUCAGAGGUGAAAGCCCAGGGCUCAACCCUGGAAUUGCCUUUGAUACUGGCUGUCUUGAGUGCGGGAGAGGUGUGUGGAACUCCGAGUGUAGAGGUGAAAUUCGUAGAUAUUCGGAAGAACACCAGUGGCGAAGGCGACACACUGGCCCGUAACUGACGCUGUGGCGCGAAAGCGUGGGGAGCAAACAGGAUUAGAUACCCUGGUAGUCCACGCCGUAAACGAUGAGUGCUAGUUGUCGGCAUGCAUGCAUGUCGGUGACGCAGCUAACGCAUUAAGCACUCCGCCUGGGGAGUACGGUCGCAAGAUUAAAACUCAAAGGAAUUGAC